UGCAGUCGAACGAUGAUUAUCUAGCUUGCUAGAUAUGAUUAGUGGCGGACGGGUGAGUAACAUUUAGGAAUCUGCCUAGUAGUGGGGGAUAGCUCGGGGAAACUCGAAUUAAUACCGCAUACGACCUACGGGUGAAAGGGGGCGCAAGCUCUUGCUAUUAGAUGAGCCUAAAUCAGAUUAGCUAGUUGGUGGGGUAAAGGCCCACCAAGGCGACGAUCUGUAACUGGUCUGAGAGGAUGAUCAGUCACACCGGAACUGAGACACGGUCCGGACUCCUACGGGAGGCAGCAGUGGGGAAUAUUGGACAAUGGGGGCAACCCUGAUCCAGCCAUGCCGCGUGUGUGAAGAAGGCCUUUUGGUUGUAAAGCACUUUAAGCAGGGAGGAGAGGCUAAUGGUUAAUACCCAUUAGAUUAGACGUUACCUGCAGAAUAAGCACCGGCUAACUCUGUGCCAGCAGCCGCGGUAAUACAGAGGGUGCGAGCGUUAAUCGGAAUUACUGGGCGUAAAGCGAGUGUAGGUGGCUCAUUAAGUCACAUGUGAAAUCCCCGGGCUUAACCUGGGAACUGCAUGUGAUACUGGUGGUGCUAGAAUAUGUGAGAGGGAAGUAGAAUUCCAGGUGUAGCGGUGAAAUGCGUAGAGAUCUGGAGGAAUACCGAUGGCGAAGGCAGCUUCCUGGCAUAAUAUUGACACUGAGAUUCGAAAGCGUGGGUAGCAAACAGGAUUAGAUACCCUGGUAGUCCACGCCGUAAACGAUGUCUACUAGCCGUUGGGGUCCUUGAGACUUUAGUGGCGCAGUUAACGCGAUAAGUAGACCGCCUGGGGAGUACGGCCGCAAGGUUAAAACUCAAAUGAAUUGACGGGGGCCCGCACAAGCGGUGGAGCAUGUGGUUUAAUUCGAUGCAACGCGAAGAACCUUACCUGGUCUUGACAUAGUGAGAAUCCUGCAGAGAUGCGGGAGUGCCUUCGGGAAUUCACAUACAGGUGCUGCAUGGCUGUCGUCAGCUCGUGUCGUGAGAUGUU
rnacentral:rRNA from 1 species